rnacentral:lncRNA from 10 species
CGGAAGCUCUACUAGACACCCCUCCCAGUCCAGAUUAGAUGCUCCUACUUACUCCUCCUCUGUGCUUGCAGACCUGCCCACCUGCCUGCCUCGUCGACUGGACUCUGGCCAAGGGCAGGGACUGUGUGGCACUGCUCACUGCUGUAUCCACAAGGCCCUAAGGCAUAAUGCCUGGAGCCUCAAUCCAUGAUCGGUAGGGAACGAAUGAAUGGCUAAGCCUGUUGGGGCAGGUGUGAUAGUUUGAGUGAAAGUGACAGGGUCUGCGGUGGCAGCGAGGAGAGAAGAGACACGAUAGAAUUGACGGGACCCAGGAAUCAUGAGAGGAGAACACAGGGAGAGAAGAAGGAGUUGGUGAUGACUCAGAGGUGUUUUUUUUUUCACCUGGAUGGAGUCUGGAUCUGUCACGCAGGCUGGAGUGCAGUCGCGCGAUCUCAGCUCACUGCAACCUAUGCCUCCCAGGUCAAGCGAUUCUCCUGCCUCGGCCUCCCAAGGAACUGGAACCACAGGCGCGCGCCACUGCGCCCAAGGAUUUUCACUUUUAACUGUACAGUGAAGCACAGACUUCUGAGCCAGACUGCUUGGUCUGAACUCUGGUGUCACCACUUAGUAAGUUCUGGUUUGAAUGUACUCACUGAGUGGUCUUCAUAAAUUACCUCUCUGCACUUGAGUCUCCUGUCUGUAAAAUGGGGAUAAUAAUCAUUACAACGAAGCCUCAUAGGAUUCUGGUGGAGACCAAAUGCAUUAAUACAUAUGCAAAGCAUUUGGAACAGCUGGCAUAUAUAAGUGCCAUAUAUCUAUUAUUAAAAAUUUUUAAAUUAUAGAAUGGAUUAAUUUUUGGAUUUUAUAAGCAGAUUCCGCCCCCCGCCCCGCCUUAAAACUGUUAUGAAAAAGCAAGAAAGGCCAGGUGCAGUGGCUCACGCCUGUAAUCCCAGCACUUUGGGAGGCCAAGGUGGGCGGAUCACGAGGUCAGGAGUUCAAGACCAGCCUGGCCAACAUGGUGAAACCCUGUCUCUAGUAAAAACACAAAAAUUAGCUGGGCGUGCGGGCACCUGUAAUCCCAGCUACUUGGGAGGCUGAAGCAGGAGAAUUGCUGCCACUGCGGAGGUUGC